rnacentral:rRNA from 1 species
UACGUAGGUGGCGAGCGUUGUCCGGAUUUACUGGGCGUAAAGGGCUUGUAGGCGGUCCGUUAAGUCCGAUGUGAAAUCUCCCGGCUCAACUGGGAGAGGUCAUUGGAUACUGGCGGACUAGAGGGGGGUAGAGGAAAGCAGAAUUCCUGGUGUAGCGGUGAAAUGCGUAGAUAUCAGGAGGAACACCCGUAGCGAAGGCGGCACUCUGGGCCGAUACUGACACUGAGGAGCGAAAGCGUGGGGAGCGAACAGA